rnacentral:rRNA from 1 species
AAUGAACGCUGGCGGCAUGCCUUACACAUGCAAGUCGAACGGCAGCAUGACCUAGCUUGCUAGGUUGAUGGCGAGUGGCGAACGGGUGAGUAAUGCAUCGGAACGUGCCUUUUAGUGGGGGAUAACGUAGCGAAAGUUACGCUAAUACCGCAUAUUCUCUGAGGAGGAAAGCAGGGGACCUUCGGGCCUUGCGCUAGAAGAGCGGCCGAUGUCGGAUUAGCUAGUUGGUGAGGUAAAGGCUCACCAAGGCAACGAUCCGUAGCGGGUCUGAGAGGAUGAUCCGCCACACUGGGACUGAGACACGGCCCAGACUCCUACGGGAGGCAGCAGUGGGGAAUUUUGGACAAUGGGCGCAAGCCUGAUCCAGCCAUGCCGCGUGAGUGAAGAAGGCCUUCGUGUUGUAAAGCUCUUUCGGCUGGGAAGAAAUCGCACCCUCUAAUACAGGGUGUGGAUGACGGUACCAGCAUAAGAAGCACCGGCUAACUACGUG